UAGGGAAUCUUCGGCAAUGGACGAAAGUCUGACCGAGCAACGCCGCGUGAGUGAAGAAGGUUUUCGGAUCGUAAAACUCUGUUGUUAGAGAAGAACAAGGACGUUAGUAACUGAACGUCCCCUGACGGUAUCUAACCAGAAAGCCACGGCUAACUACGUGCCAGCAGCCGCGGUAAUACGUAGGUGGCAAGCGUUGUCCGGAUUUAUUGGGCGUAAAGCGAGCGCAGGCGGUUUCUUAAGUCUGAUGUGAAAGCCCCCGGCUCAACCGGGGAGGGUCAUUGGGAACUGGGAGAGUUGAGUGCAGAAGAGGUGAGUGGAAUUUCAUGUGUAGCGGUGAAAUGGGUAGAUAUAUGGGGGAAAAACAGUGGGGAAGGCGGCUCUCUGGUCUGUAACUGACGCUGAGGCUUGAAAACGUGGGGGGCAAACAGG
rnacentral:rRNA from 1 species